AACAUACUCCCUCCGUUUCAAAAUUCUUGUCUUAUAUUUGUCUAAAUACGGAUGUAUCUAGUUACAUUUCAGUGUUAGAUACAUCCGUAUCUGGACAAAUCUAAAACAUGAAUUUUGGGACGGAGGGAGUAGAAU
rnacentral:pre_miRNA from 1 species